AGAGUUUGAUUCUGGCUCAGAACGAACGCUGGCAGCGUGGAUUAGGCAUGCAAGUCGAACGAGAGCCAAGGUGUUCAAGUAGCAAUAUGAGAACAUCUUGGUGACAGUGGCGGAAGGGUGCGUAACGCGUGAGUAAUCUGCCUCGAAGAUUGGGAUAACUCCGGGAAACCGGAACUAAUACCGAAUGUGGUCGUUUCGCGCAUGCGAGACUGACCAAAGGAUGGGGAUCCUUCGGGACCUGUCGCUUUGAGAGGAACUCGCGUCCCAUCAGCUAGUUGGUGAGGUAAUGGCCCACCAAGGCUUACGGGUAGCUGGUCUUAGAGGAUGGUCAGCCACACUGGGACUGAGACACUGCCCAGACUCCUACGGGAGGCUGCAGUCGAGGAUCAUUUGCAAUGGGCGAAAGCCUGACAAUGCGACGCUGCGUGGAGAUGAAGGCCUUCGGGUUGUAAACUCCUGUCAUUCGGGAACAAUAAGACGGGUGUUAACAGCGCCUGGAAUUGAUAGUACAGGAAGAGGAAGCCACGGCUAACUCUGUGCCAGCAGCCGCGGUAAUACAGAGGUGGCAAGCGUUGUUCGGAUUUACUGGGCGUAAAGGGUGCGUAGGUGGUCUUGUGUGUCGAAUGUGAAAUCCCACUGCUUAACGGUGGAACGGCAUUCGAAACUGCGAGACUUGAGUGCAGGAGGGGAGAGCGGAAUUCUUAGUGUAGCGUUGAAAUGCGUUGAUAUUAAGAAGAACACCGGUGGCGAAGGCGGCUCUCUGGAAUGCAACUGACACUGAGGCACGAAAGCUAGGGGAGCAAACAGGAUUAGAUACCCUGGUAGUCCUAGCUGUAAACGGUGCACACUUGGUGUGGGGAGAGUUUACCCUCCCCGUGCCGGAGCUAACGCGUUAAGUGUGCCGCCUGGGGAGUACGGCCGCAAGGUUAAAACUCAAAGAAAUUGACGGGGGCCCGCACAAGCGGAGGAGCAUGUGGCUCAAUUCGAUGCAACGCGAAGAACCUUACCAGGGCUUGACAUGCAGCUGCAAGCCCCGAGAAAUCGGGGCCGCCUUCGAGGGCGCUGCACAGGUGCUGCAUGGCUGUCGUCAGUUCGUGCCGUGAGGUGUUUGGUUAAGUCCAGCAACGAACGCAACCCCUGUGUCUAGUUGCCACCACGGGUAACCGUGAGCACUCUAGACAGGCUGCCUGUUUACGCAGGAGGAAGGUGGGGACGACGUCAAGUCAGUAUGGCCUUUAUGCCCUGGGCUGCACACGUGCUACAAUGGUCGGUACAGAGGGACGCAAGACCGCGAGGUGGAGCAAAUCCCCUAAAACCGGCCCCAGUUCGGAUUGUAGUCUGCAACUCGACUACAUGAAGUCGGAUUCGCUAGUAACGGCGUAUCAGCUACGGCGCCGUGAAUACGUUCCCGGGCCUUGUACACACCGCCCGUCACAUCAUGAAAGCCGUCUGCACCCGAUGUCGCCGUGCCAACCCGCAAGGGAGGCAGGUUCCUAAGGUGUGGGGUGGUGAUUGGGAUGAAGUCGGAACAAGGUA
rnacentral:rRNA from 1 species